GCUUUCCUUCAGCAGCACAUAUACUAAAGUUGGAAUGAUAGAGAAGAUUAGCAUGGUCCCUUCACAAGGAUGACGUGCAAAUUCAUGCAGCAUUCCAUUUUUUC